ACCCCCUCCCUUCUUCCGGAGGGGUUGUGUGCGGACAGGUGAGGAAAACCGGGCCACCUUACCCCCGGGAAGAUAAACGCUAUCUUUUGGGGGGUUAGGGCCAGGGUCGUAUUAGGGCAACAAUAUAUUAAUUAGCUAUAUGGGUGGUGUAAAGGACCACCCCGCCGAUGAUGCGAGACAAACCAAAACUUAGUCACACUUUCACUGAAACAAGGGGAAGGCUCACAUGGUCCCCAGUGGACUAGAGGCAGCAGUAGAGAAUCUUGUGCAAUAUACAAUUGGUAUGACACAGAGGUAAUCUAGAAAUAAAGGCCUGUCAAACUAAGUGCCAGCAGACGCGGUGAGACUUAGGGGCCUAGCCUUUAUAAACAAAGGGGCGUAAAGAGUGUGCAGGCUAAACCAAAACUUAGAAUAUAAAUAUAUAUAGUUAUACCACUAUUGAUAUAUCUAGGUUUAACCACCAAAAUAAGGUUGAUUAUGGAAUGCUUCUGUAGCGGUAGAAUGUGAAGAAAGAGGCUUGAACCCCAAGCGCGAAAGCAAUUAACUAAUGUGGUGGUGUUUUUGGCUGAAACACGAGAGUUGGGGUAUCAAACAGGAUUAGAGACCCUGGUAGUCCCAACCGUAAACUAUGGGGAGUAUUGCUAGUAUUGCAGCACCAAAGGCCGCAAAUCCCCCGCCUGAGUAGUACGAUCGCAAGAUUAAAAUUCAAAAAAUUUGGCUGUUCUCCGAUUAGAUUAGAGGAGCGUGUAGUUUAAUUCGAUAAUCCGCGAGCAACCUUACCCUAACUUGAAUCUUUCUCAUUCUGCUUUUUAACUGUAACCCCGAAGGUUUUGGUCUCGCCAUUAUCUUCGUUGUCUAUGGUUGAGGCAGGCAAGAGAACCGACCGGUGUUGCAUGGCCGUCGUCAGUUCGUGUUUAAAUCAUAAAACGGGCAAAAACCAUAAAGAGAAUUAGUGAAUGGUUGAAGUCAGGUCUCAUGGCCCUAAUGUUAGGGGAUUUUUAUGCGCUACAUUCGCCCAAGCAAAGGGAUUAAGAACAGGAAAACCCAAGUAACAUGCGGCGAGCGGAUGGCCAUUGGGAUAGUGGCCUGAAGUUGAAUUUAAUAGUAAUUGGGGAGAAGAGCGCCCCGGUGAACAUAUAUGGCACGGAGUUAGCACAAAUCGCCCGUCACCUUAUCUUAGUAACGCAGCCCGGACACCGCCAACAAUGGGGGCCACUGGCUACUAACAAAGAUAAGCAAGUCGUAACAUAGUGAGAGGAGGGGAACCUCCUCUUG
rnacentral:rRNA from 1 species